CGCCUGAUGCCAAGUCGCCUGUAGCAGAGAAAAUGGAUUGCAUUGACCGGCAAUGCUACGAUCGGGCAUAGAGCAAAUUCUAGUUUCGCAUGUUGAUAGGAACCUGUGGGUCUCUAGUUUUUAUCCAUGGAGCUGUUUGAUGUGAUUACACCU